rnacentral:lncRNA from 1 species
GGUUAGAUCUUUACGAGAUUCUAGCAGCAGGGACCAUAAGACCUUAGGGAAUCACUUAGCACUACCCUUUAGUACACAGAUGGAGAAAUGGAGGCAGCUCAGCGGAAAGGCCAGCAACUGCCCCCAAAGGUGGAACUCUAAAUUCUAGGUCCUCAUUUGUUUAUACUAUCUUAUGAUAAAAUAUUCAUUAUUCAGACCCAGCACACUGAGGCCAGGCAUGGAAGUGACCUCUUAGGAUCUCAACACUUGGCAGGUGGAGUCAGGAAGAUCAGGAAAUCAAGCCAACCUUGCCCACAUAUUAAGUUCAAGGCCAGCCUCUGCUACAAGGGACCCUAUCUUAAGAAACAGAACAGAAUAAAACAAAGAACUCAAACAACAGGAAACAUCCCGCACAUGUGGGCACUUACCAAAUUUCAUUAUUGAAUACCAGUGUGGAGAUGCCGGUAAAAGGCUUUCUGCACACACAGUGUCAUCCAUGCAUUAGUUAUCAUGUCCCAUAAGGGAGGUACCAGAUGGUAGAGGGUAUGGACAUUAUGCUGGGAUGUGGGUUCUGUUUUGUAGGCAAUGCUAAGCCAUCCCAGGUUUCAGACAAGAGGUCUGACAUGGUCCACUUUAAAGAGCUCUUUCUGGUAGCAGAGAGAAGGGUAGACUGAAAGCUGUUGGAUUGGAUACCUGAAGAUGUGCAAGUUUUCAGAGUAGUCCUGGCAACACAGGGCGGUGGUCAUGUCAAAAAUGUAUUGUUUAAACAAAUUGCUUUAUUAUAUUGUGUGUGCAUAUAUGAUGUGUGAGAGUGAGGCACAUUUAUGUGGCGGUCAGGAACAACUUCUGGAAACUGAUUUCUCCUUCGUUUUGAGCUCUGGAGCAGAACUCGAGGCACAAUUCUCAGAGAUAAGCAAUUUUUCCUGCUGAGCCAUCCUGACAGACCAGGCAAUUUCUUAAUUGCCACAGCCUUUGAACCUUUGGUAGUUUACUCAAGGUUACAGACGCAGCGAGUCCUCAGGAUCUGUAAGCAGAAGGAGAAGUGGAGUUGAGGACAGCAGUAGGCUGGGCCUUUGGACAGACCAAGGACAACUUCUUAGGAUGUUGGACUCCUGCCUACGAUCCCAGAGUAAUCGAGCUGGCUUCACUUGCGAUAAAACAUGGAUUCCAUGGUCACUGUCCUGGGAGGAACACAUUCUGCUAAGAGCAACUAAAAGUCUCGAAUAAACACUGAAAAUUUG